rnacentral:rRNA from 1 species
UAGGGAAUAUUGGGCAAUGGAGGCAACUCUGACCCAGCCAUGCCGCGUGCAGGAUGAAGGCCCUCUGGGUUGUAAACUGCUUUUAUCAGGGAAGAAACAACGGGAUUCAUCCUGUUCUGACGGUACCUGAGGAAUAAGCACCGGCUAACUCCGUGCCAGCAGCCGCGGUAAUACGGAGGGUGCAAGCGUUAUCCGGAUUUACUGGGUUUAAAGGGUGCGUAGGCGGGCUUUUAAGUCAGUGGUGAAAGAUUCGAGCUUAACUCGAAAACUGCCAUUGAUACUGAAGGCCUUGAGUACAGUUGAGGUGGGCGGAAUGAGUCAUGUAGCGGUGAAAUGCUUAGAUAUGACUCAGAACACCAAUUGCGAAGGCAGCUCGCUAAACUGUAACUGACGCUGAGGCACGAAAGCGUGGGUAGCAAACAGG